rnacentral:pre_miRNA from 1 species
UAUAUACUCCCUCCGUCCGGAAAUACUUGUCAUCAAAAUGGAUAAAAGGGAUGUAUCUAGAUGUAUUUUAGUUUUAGAUACAUCCCUUUUUGUCCAUUCUGAUGACAAGUAUUUUUGGACGGACGGAGUAUAAG